AUACGUAGGUGGCAAGCGUUGUCCGGAUUUAUUGGGCGUAAAGCGAGCGCAGGCGGUUUCUUAAGUUUGAUGUGAAAGCCCCCGGCUCAACCUGGGAGGUGCAUUGUAAACUGGGAGACUUGAGUGCAGAAGAGGGGGGUGGAAUUCCAUGUGUAGCGGUGAAAUGCGUAGAUAUAUGGAGGAACACCAGUGGCGAAGGCGACCCUCUGGGCUGUAACUGGCGCUGAGGGUCGAAAGCGGGGGGAGCAAACAGGGCUAGAUUCCCUGGUAGUCCACGCCGGAAACGAUGAGUGCUAAGUGUUGGAGGGUUUCCGCCCUUUAGUGCUGCAGCUAACGCAUUAAGUACUCCGCCUGGGGAGUACGACCGCAAGGUUGAAACUCAAAGGAAUUGACGGGG
rnacentral:rRNA from 1 species